UACGUGGGGGGCAAGCGUUGUUCGGAAUUACUGGGCGUAAAGGGCUCGUAGGCGGCCAACUAAGUCAGACGUGAAAUCCCUCGGCUUAACCGGGGAACUGCGUCUGAUACUGGAUGGCUUGAAUCCGGGAGAGGGAUGCGGAAUUCCAGGUGUAGCGGUGAAAUGCGUAGAUAUCGGGAAGAACAUCGGUGGCGAAGGCGGCCAGCUGGGCCAUUGCUGACGCUGAUGCGCGACAGCGUGGGGAGCAAACAGG
rnacentral:rRNA from 1 species